AUUGAACGCUGGCGGCAGGCCUAACACAUGCAAGUCGAACGAGUGGCGGACGGGUGAGUAAUGUCUGGGAAACUGCCCGAUGGAGGGGGAUAACUACUGGAAACGGUAGCUAAUACCGCAUACCAUCAGAUGUACCCAGAUGGGAUUAGCUGGUUGGUGGGGUAAAGGCUCACCAAGGCGACGAUCCCUAGCUGGUCUGAGAGGAUGACCAGCCACACUGGAACUGAGACACGGCCCAGACGCCUACGGGAGGCAGCAGUGGGGAAUAUUGGACAAUGGGCGCAAGCCUGAUGCAGCCAUGCCGCGUGUAUGAAGAAGGCCUUCGGGUUGUAAAGUACUUUCGUCAGGGAGGCGUUACCCGCAGAAGAAGCACCGGCUAACUCCGUGCCAGCCGCCGCGGUAAUUC
rnacentral:rRNA from 1 species